AUAUAUGAGAGUUUGAUCCUGGCUCAGGAUAAACGCUGGCGGCGUGCAUAACACAUGCAAGUCGAACGAUGAAGAUUAAAUGAUUUCUUCGGAAUGAACUUAAUUGGAUUAGUGGCGGACGGGUGAGUAACGCGUGAGUAACCUGCCUUGUACAAGGGGAUAGCCGUUGGAAACGACGAAUAAUACCCUAUGACAUCAUACGGGAGGCAGCAGUGGGGAAUUUUGCACAAUGGGGGAAACCCUGAUGCAGCGACGCCGCGUGAUUUAGAAGGCCUUCGGGUUGUAAAAAUCUUUUGUAUGGGAAGAAAAUGACAGUACCAUACGAAUAAGGACCGGCUAAUUACGUGCCAGCAGCCGCGGUAAUACGUAAGGUCCGAGCGUUGUCCGGAAUCAUUGGGCGUAAAGGGUACGUAGGCGGAUAAGCAAGUUAGAAGUUAAAUCCUAUAGCUCAACUAUAGCAAGCUUUUAAAACUGCUCAUCUUGAGGUAUGGAAGGGAAAGUGGAAUUCCUAGUGUAGCGGUGAAAUGCGCAGAUAUUAGGAGGAAUACCGGUGGCGAAGGCGACUUUCUGGCCAUAAACUGACGCUGAGGUACGAAAGCGUGGGUAGCAAACAGGAUUAGAUACCCUGGUAGUCCACGCCGUAAACGAUGAGUGUUAGGUGUCUGGAAUAAUCUGGGUGCCGCAGCUAACGCAUUAAACACUCCGCCUGGGGAGUACGCACGCAAGUGUGAAACUCAAAGGAAUUGACGGGGACCCGCACAAGCAGCGGAGCAUGUGGUUUAAUUCGACGCAACGCGAAGAACCUUACCAAGUCUUGACAUAAUACGGAAG
rnacentral:rRNA from 1 species